UCCGGCUUAUCACCGGCAGUCCCCCUAGAGUGCCCAACUGAAUGAUGGCAACUAAGGGCGAGGGUUGCGCUCGUUGCGGGACUUAACCCAACAUCUCACGACACGAGCUGACGACAGCCAUGCACCACCUGUAUACCGACCACAAGGGGGGCCGUAUCUCUACGGCUUUCCGGUAUAUGUCAAACCCAGGUAAGGUGGGGAUGACGUUUCCAGGUUAGG
rnacentral:misc_RNA from 1 species